rnacentral:rRNA from 1 species
UCAGUGAAUCCCGGGGCCCCACCAGGGCCGCGGCGGCAUUAUCUGAGUGAAGCGAAAUACAAAACGCAUCAAAACUUUCAACAACGGAUCUCUUGGUUCUGGCAUCGAUGAAGAACGCAGCGAAAUGCGAUAAGUAAUGUGAAUUGCAGAAUUCAGUGAAUCAUCGAAUCUUUGAACGCACAUUGCGCCCGCCAGCAUUCUGGCGGGCAU